rnacentral:rRNA from 1 species
UACGUAGGGGGCAAGCGUUGUCCGGAUUUAUUGGGCGUAAAGAGCGUGUAGGCGGUUAGGUAGGUCCGUUGUGAAAACUCGAGGCUCAACCUCGAGACGCCGAUGGAAACCAUCUGACUAGAGUCCGGAAGAGGAGAGUGGAAUUCCUGGUGUAGCGGUGAAAUGCGUAGAUAUCAGGAGGAACACCUGUGGCGAAAGCGGCGCACUGGACCACAACUGACGCUGAGGCGCGAAAGCUAGGGGAGCAAACAGG